AGUGAACGUUGGCGGCGUGGAUUAGGCAUGCAAGUCGAGCGAGAACCGUAGCAAUAUGGGGACAGCGGCGAAAGGGGCAGUAAUGUGUAGGUACCUACCUCCGGGUUCGGGAUAGCUGCGGGAAACUGCAGGUAAUACCGAAUAACGUCUCCGGACCAAAGGUGUGAUUCCACCUGGAGAGGGGCCUGCAUCCUAUUAGCUUGUUGGCGGGGUAACGGCCCACCAAGGCGACGAUGGGUAGCGGGUGUGAGAGCACGACCCGCGUCAUUGGGACUGAGACACUGCCCAGACACCUACGGGUGGCUGCAGUCGUGAAUCUUCGGCAAUGGGCGCAAGCCUGACCGAGCGACGCCGCAUGCGGGAUGAAGGCCUUCGGGUUGUAAACCGCUGUCGUAGAGGAGGAAAUGCAGGGGGGUUCUCCCCUCUGUUUGACCUAUUCUAGGAGGAAGUACGGGCUAAGUUCGUGCCAGCCGCCGCAGUAA
rnacentral:rRNA from 1 species